GCAGCCAUAAGCAAUGUCUAAAUGAAUGUGGCUGUGUUCCAAUAAAACUUUGUGUAUACUGAUGUUUGUGUUUCAUGUCAUCAUCAUAUGUCAUGAAAUAUGACUCUCUUUUUGCAGUUGUGAAAACCAUUCUGUACAAAAACAGAUGGUGGGAUGGAUUUGACCCACAGGCCAUGGUUUGCCAGCCCUGCUUUAUUAUAGCACAUUUAGCAUUUGAGCGAUUCUUUAGAAUCUCUUAAGUCUCUUUAUGUGGAAGUUCUUUCAGACAGCAUUUCCUGAAUGGAUGGUCAUGAAUUUGUGUUCUAGGUGUUUUCUUUCUAUAUUGUUUGUUUAGAGAUUUACAGUAUCUCAGAGUUGGACAUUAUGCCCUUAUUGGCAUAGAUUGUGCCCUUAUUGACUAUUUUAUCAUUUGACUUUUAAAAUGUGAUGUAACAAGGUUGUAUAUACUUUGUCUAGCUUGCUCCUCUUCUGUUUAUCACCACUUGUUUUAAUUCAUUUUAUUUCUUUUCCCAUAGCUGUACGCUAUACGUAAUGAUCCCACUUAACAGGUCCAAGACUUAGCCCAGUGCAGAACCCUGCCUGUCCUGGAGACCACCCAGGCUGACACUUGGGAGCCAUACCUGGGAACUGCUCCCCUUCAGACUCUUCCUUCAGCUGCUCACUCCGCCGGCUCUCUCGGGCCUCCCUCCAGCGUAGCUUUUGGAUGGAUGGAUUUCGAAGGCAUUUUCGGAUGCGGCACUUUUUUCGCU
rnacentral:lncRNA from 10 species